rnacentral:rRNA from 1 species
CCUGGUUGAUCUGCCAGUAGCAUAUGCUUGUCUCAAAGAUUAAGCCCAUGCAUGUCUAAGUACACACGGGCGGUACAGUGAAACUGCGAAUGGCUCAUUAAAUCAGUUAUGGUUCCUUUGGUCGCUCCCCUCCCCGUUACUUGGAUAAUGUGUAAUCUUAGAGCUAAUACAUGCCGACAAGCGCCCGACCUCCGGGGACGCGUGCAUUUUAUCAGACCAAAACCAACCGGGCUCGCCGGCGGCUUUGGUGGACUCUAGAUAUACCUCGAGCCGAUCGCACGGCCCCCCGUGGCGGCGAGACCCAUUCGAAGUCUGCCCUAUCACUUCCUAUGGUACUUGGUCUGUGCCUACCAUGGGUGACCACGGGUAACGGGGAAUCAGGGUUCGAUUCCGGAGAGGGAGCCUGAGAACUGCUACCACAUCCAAGGAAGGCAGCAGGCGCGGCAAAUUACCCACUCCCGACCGGGGGAGGUAGUGACCGAAAAAUAACAAUACAGGACUCUUUCGAGGCCCUGUAAUUGGAAUGAGUCACUUUAAAUCCUUUAACGAGGAUCCAUUGGAGGGCAAGUCUGGUGCCAGCGCCGCGGUAAUUCCAGCUCCAAUAGCGUAUGUUAAAGUUGCUGCAGGUUAAAAAGCUCGUAGUUGGAUCUUGGGAUCGAGCUGCGGUCCCGCCGCGAGGCGAGCUACCGCCUGAUCCAGCCCCUGUCUCUCGGCGCCCCCUCGAUGCUCUUAACUGAGUGUCCCGCGGGGCCCGAAGCGUUUACUUUGAAAAAAUUAGAGUGUUCAAAGCAGACUGGCCGCCGGAAUACUCCAGCUAUGGGAAUAAUGAAUAGGGACUCCGGUUCUAUUUUGUUGGUUUUCGGAAACGGGCCAUGAUUAAGAGGGACGGCCGGGGGCAUUCGUAUGUGGCCGCCUAGAGGUGAAAUUCUUUGGACCGGCGCAAGACGAACUAAGGCGAAAGCAUUUGCCAAGAAUGUUUUCAUUAAUCAAGAAACGAAAGUGGAGGUUCGAAGACGAUCAGAUACCGUCCGUAGUUCGCGACCAUAAACGAUGCCGACUCGCGAUCCGGCCGCGUUAUUCCCAUGACCCGCCGGGCAGCUCCCGGGAAACCCAAGUCUUUGGUUCCGGGGGGGAGUAUGGUUGCAAAGUUGAAACUUAAAGGAGGACGCCGAAGGAGGAAUCGGAGGGAGUCGACGAGGAAUAUGGGCUUCGGCCUCUUCGACUAGCGGGGGCUGCCGGCCCUGCGGCCCUCAAAUAAAGCUUC